rnacentral:misc_RNA from 1 species
GAUGAAGAACGUAGCGAAAUGCGAUAAGUAAUAUGAAUUGCAGAUAUUCGUGAAUCAUCGAAUCUUUGAACGCACAUUGCGCCCUUUGGUAUUCCAAAGGGCAUGCCUGUUUGAGCGUCAUUUCUCCCUCAAACCCUCGGGUUUGGUGUUGAGCGAUACGCUGGGUUUGCUUGAAAGAAAGGCGGAGUAUAAACUAAUGGAUAGGUUUUUUCCACUCAUUGGUACAAACUCCAAAACUUCUUCCAAAUUCGACCUCAAAUCAGGUAGGACUACCCGCUGAACUUAAGCAUAUCAAUAAGCGGAGAA